rnacentral:rRNA from 1 species
GAGCCCUAGUUCGGAUUGUAGGCUGAAACUCGCCUACAUGAAGCUGGAAUUGCUAGUAAUCACAGGUCAGCAUACUGUGGUGAAUACGUUCCCGGGCCUUGUACACACCGCCCGUCACACCAUGAGAGUUGAGAAUACCCGAAGCCCAUGUCAAAGUGGUCGAAGGUAGGCUUGAUGAUUGGGGUGAAGUCGUAACAAGGUAUC